rnacentral:lncRNA from 1 species
GCCAAGGGGCCCAAGCCGGAGAAGCCCCCGACCAAGGGCCACGGCCACAAGCCGGAGAAGCCGCCCAAGGAGCACAAGCCGACUCCGCCCACCUACACCCCGAGCCCCAAGCCCACGCCGCCGCCGGCUACUCCCAAGCCGACGCCGCCCACCUACACGCCGAGCCCUAAGCCCAAGUCGCCGGUCUACCCUCCCCCGCCGAAAGCCAGUACUCCUCCGACCUACACCCCGAGCCCCAAGCCUCCGGCGACCAAGCCGCCUACCUACCCGACCCCCAAGCCACCAGCUACCAAGCCUCCGACACCUCCUGUGUACACUCCGAGCCCCAAACCACCGGUUACAAAGCCUCCUACACCCAAGCCGACCCCGCCGGUGUACACGCCGAACCCCAAGCCACCGGUUACCAAGCCUCCGACACACACGCCGAGCCCCAAGCCUCCGACAUCCAAGCCGACUCCGCCGGUGUACACACCGAGCCCCAAGCCACCGAAGCCGUCCCCGCCGACGUACACGCCGACCCCGAAGCCACCGGCUACCAAGCCGCCCACCUCAACUCCGACGCACCCUAAGCCGACGCCGCACACGCCUAUCCCCAAGCCCACGCCGCCAACCUACAAGCCGGCACCGAAGCCGACGCCGCCGGCGCCCACCCCGCCGACAUACACGCCGCCGGUGUCGCACAC